rnacentral:rRNA from 1 species
CCUACGGGAGGCAGCAGUGGGGAAUAUUGCGCAAUGGGCGAAAGCCUGACGCAGCGAUGCCGCGUGAGGGAUGAAGGUCUUCGGAUCGUAAACCUCUGUCAGCAGGGAAGAACGGUCACUGUGCUAAUCAGCAGUGAAUUGACGUUACCUGCAAAGGAAGCACCGGCUAACUCCGUGCCAUCAGCCGCUGUAAUACCGAGGGUGCGAGCGUUAAUCGGAAUUACUGGGCGUAAAGCGCUCGUAGGCGGUAUGUCAAGUCAAGGGUGAAAGCCCCGGUCUCAACGUGGGAACUGCCUGUGAAACUGGCAAAAUGGAGUGUGUGAGAGGAUAGUGGAAUUCCAGGUGUAGGAGUGAAAUCCGUAGAUAUCUGGAGGAACAUCAGUGGCGAAGGCGACUAUCUGGCACAUAACUGACGCUGAGGAGCGAAAGCGUGGGUAGCAAACAGGAUUAGAUACCCCUGUAGUC